rnacentral:rRNA from 1 species
UACGUAGGUGGCAAGCGUUGUCCGGAUUUACUGGGCGUAAAGAGCGCGCAGGCGGUCGUUCAAGUCGCGUGUGAAAGCCCCCGGCUCAACUGGGGAGGGUCACGGGUAACGGCAGUGCUCUGAGUGCAGGAGAGGGAAGUGGAACUCCGGGAGUAGCGGUGAAAUGCGUAGAGACCCGGAGGAACACCGGUGGCGAAGGCGGAUCUCUGGGCCAUUACUGACGCUGAGGAGCGAAAGCGUGGGGAGCGAACAGG